GCAGGGACUGUGGCUCAGUGGUAGAGCAUCUGCUUGGCAUUCAAAAAUUCCCAGGUUCAACCUCUGGCAUCUCUGCU
rnacentral:tRNA from 1 species